rnacentral:lncRNA from 13 species
GUGGUCCAGAAAUACCUUGAUUUCACACUUCCAUCUCCAAAACUUCCUCAAGACAGCCACCCCAACGCCACAGUGUCAUUAACCCAGCUGCAGCUCUGAUUCUGCAGGCUCUUUACUGCGGCUCCCACAGCUGUUGCCAGCUCAUCGUCCUACCCUGCAGAGAGGUCAGCGGAAGCCAUAACUCAUGGGCUGUGGCAUCUGAAGAGAUACGAGGGAGCCAUCAUCCCGGCUUUUGGAAUGGGCAAGAAAUCUAAAUGCUGAGAACGCUGCUGUGGCCAGGAAUCAGAAAGGAGGAUGCCUCUUGUUGUCUCAGUUGCUUGAGGAAUCUCCCUUCCAAUAAUAGCUCAAGAAAAAGAGAUUCCAACAAAGACACUGCGUAAGUCAAGUAUCAGGAUUACCAACCAAUUCACUGAUUCUCGGGAGUACUUAUGGACUCUCUGACAUGCACAAAGUUUUCUAAUAAAAACAUGAGCAGAUUACA